rnacentral:rRNA from 1 species
CAAUAGCGUAUAUUAACGUUGUUGCAGUUAAAAAGCUCGUAGUUGGAUUUCUGGAGGGAGCGUCGGCCCGUAUUUACGAGUGCGUGACGUCUCUGUCCAUCCUUGCGGGAAGGCACGGCAUUGAUUUGUUGUGUCGGAUCGCAUCAUUUACUGUGAAAAAAUUAGAGUGUUCAAAGCAGGCUUUCGCUUGAAUACAUUAGCAUGGAAUAAUAAGAUAGGACUUUGGUGCUAUUUUGUUGGUUGAGCCUAAAGUAAUGAUUAAUAGGGAUAGUUGGGGGCACCUGCAUUGCGUUGUCAGAGGUGAAAUUCUUGGAUUUACGCAAGACAAACAGCUGCGAAAGCGUCUGCCAAGGAUGUUUUCAUUA